AGCGAACGCUGGCGGCAGGCUUAACACAUGCAAGUCGAACGCCCCGCAAGGGGAGUGGCAGACGGGUGAGUAACACGUGGGAACGUACCCUUUGGUUCGGAAUAACUUGGGGAAACUCAAGCUAAUACCGGAUAAGCCCUUAUGGGGAAAGGUUUACUGCCGAAGGAUCGGCCCGCGUCUGAUUAGCUAGUUGGUGAGGUAAUGGCUCACCAAGGCGACGAUCAGUAGCUGGUCUGAGAGGAUGAUCAGCCACACUGGGACUGAGACACGGCCCAGACUCCUACGGGAGGCAGCUGUGGGGAAUAUUGGACAAUGGGGGCAACCCUGAUCCAGCCAUGCCGCGUGAGUGAUGAAGGCCUUAGGGUUGUAAAGCUCUUUUACCCGGGACGAUAACGACUGUACCGAGAGAAUAAGCCCCGGCUAACUUCGUGCCAGCAGCCGCCGUAA
rnacentral:rRNA from 1 species